GAAAGAGAGAGAGAGAGAGAAAGAGAAACAGAGCGAGAGAGGGGGAGAGAGAGAGAGAGAGAAGUAGGGAAGAAACUCUGCUGAGCCACAUCUAAGUGUCAAAGUAACAUACGCCACAGUCAAGCACAAGCUGCAAGACGUGGGAAAAUGUUCUCUGGGAAAAACCUUUACAAUGGGCUCGAGAAAGGAUUACAAUCAUAACAGCUGUAUUGUGACAUGAUGGACUUUCAUCUGAAGUGCAGGUGGGAUGUGUUCAAAUCGUGCACAUAGUGGACUUUCUGGGUAAUUUGUGUUGGUUUUGGUUUGAAGGCUUCACUUCACUUCGCUUAAAAAAGAAAGAGUCUAGCUUCUUCUGAGAUGAUGGAGGACAGGAACGGAGUUUGUCAUGUGAUGGAGGACAGCGAAGUGGAUGUUCAAAAUACACAAACCAGGAUUCAGCCGCAGGCCAACAACAACCCCAAAUGGUCAAACGGUCAGUGUGUUCUGGCCGUGCCCUGCUGUUCAAUGUUAAACCCGAGCUUUGAUCUGUCUCUGUGCCGCGCCAAACUGGAGAGGGAGGGCUUCCAGAUUCCAGUCACAGACAUGGAGGAGCCACUGAGGACAGCUCUGGACGUUCCUUCAGUCAGGAGAUACAUGGUCUUCAACUCGGCCCACUUCCAUUUCAUUUUGGCUCCGGUGCUGUAUGUGGUGGUGUGGUGUGCCGUCUUCUCCACUCUCCACCUCUACAUCACCGUCAGCGACUACUGGGUCCUCUGCCUCUCUGUCAGCCUGGUCUCCAUCUUCCUCACCACUGUCAUCAUCUUCAUCCUCCACCACAGUAACAAAGAAAUCAGCGUGAAUUUAGACAUCCGGCUGAUUCAGGUGAAUGAGAGGAUGGUGAAACACAAGCUGCUGGUGGCUGUGGCCGACUGGGUGCAGAACUGCACAGGAAACAUUAAGCUCUACUUUGUGUAUUGGGACAUGACUCGCUGCCUGAGAGCACUCACUGAAACUUUAGAGGAGGGCGGCUUUGCAACGAACGACACCCAGAAGAAGCUGAAGAGGAAAAUGUCCCAUCUCGUCCUCGUGACCGAGGUCACGGCAGUCGACUCGGAGGACGUUGAGUCAGAUGAACAGAGGCCUCUGCUGGGGAACGAGGACACGGACUCCAGGUCAUCAUCCAGCCAGCGGGAGGACGCCAAAAUCCCCCCCAGCUACAGCCUCGUCCCUGAUGCAUCGUUACCUGCACAGGCUAAAGCCUACCAGCUCCUGAUGACCUACAGUGCUGCUUACGUGAAGCUGCUGGUGUCGGAGAGGCUGUCGGGUCCGUCGCACCAUCGUCUACGAACCCGGAGGAAUCACUGCACCACUGCUCCGUUCUGCCUCUGCCAGUACAUCAAAAACAAAAUCCUCCGAUAACACAACUGGAGGAACAGAUGAACUUCUGGACUAUAAGAAAAAGACUUAUUCGUUGUUUCCAGGCUCUGGAAAAAAAACUGACAUACAGGAGGAUUUGCAGAGGAGCAAUCAUGGAUUAACUGAUAUCUUGAUAAUAAAAAAAGAAGGACAUGUUUGGGGCUUCACUCUCUUGACUCCCCAGUUGUAAAGUUGAUUCUCCAGCAUGCGGACUACUGUACCUCUGCUGCUGUUUUCAUGCCAGCUCUGUGUUUGCACCUCCUGGAUCCCCGUCCUGGUUUGUGCCAACAAACAAAGCCUCCUCCAAUAUCACCGGCGAGUAUCCAUCAGUCCUGAUGCUGUGGCCGAGAUGACGGCCCAGCGAGGGAGCUGCAGCAUGACACAAACACACACAGUGAGACAGCAAGCGUGGCCCACCAAGGGGAAGCUGGGAUUGUG